rfam:Felis catus isolate Cinnamon breed Abyssinian chromosome A1, whole genome shotgun sequence.
GCCUGGGUGGCUCUGUCGGUUGAGCAUCUGACUUCAGCUCAGGUCAUGGUCUCACACUUCGUGAGUUCGAGCCCCACUUCGGGCU